CAUGCAAGUCGAGCGGCCGUAGCAAUACGGCAGCGGCAGACGGGAGAGUAACACGUGGGAACGUGCCUAUCAGUUCGGAACAACCCAGGGAAACUUGGGCUAAUACCGGAUACGCCCUUACGGGGAAAGAUUUAUCGCUGAUAGAGCGGCCCGCGUCUGAUUAGCUAGUUGGUGAGGUAAUGGCUCACCAAGGCGACGAUCAGUAGCUGGUCUGAGAGGAUGAUCAGCCUCACUGGGACUGAGACACGGCCCAGACUCCUACGGGAGGCAGCAGUGGGGAAUAUUGGACAAUGGGCGCAAGCCUGAUCCAGCCAUGCCGCGUGGAUGAUGAAGGCCUUAGGGUUGUAAAAUCCUUUCGGCGGGGAAGAUAAUGACGGUACCCGCAGAAGAAGCCCCGGCUAACUUCGUGCCAGCAGCCGCGGUAAUACGAAGGGGGCUAGCGUUGCUCGGAAUCACUGGGCGUAAAGCGCACGUAGGCGGCUUUUUAAGUCAGGGGUGAAAUCCUGGAGCUCAACUCCAGAACUGCCUUUGAUACUGAGAAGCUUGAGUCCGGGAGAGGUGAGUGGAACUGCGAGUGUAGAGGUGAAAUUCGUAGAUAUUCGCAAGAACACCAGUGGCGAAGGCGGCUCACUGGCCCGGUACUGACGCUGA
rnacentral:rRNA from 1 species